UCCUGUUCCGCCAGAUAAGCCUCACAGUAGACUGGACCAGCGGUGGGCUUGAGUGUCUGCUUGUGUUGAGAUUACCCUCUAAUGACACUUCAAAUCCCCCUCCAUGAGCCCGAGUGAUUUUCUUCCAGGUUUCAGUCCCUGGUGUGACGGACUGGAGGAGAUGGACACAUCUCUUAAUCACAGAGCGGUGGCCAAACAGAGGCUGCAGGAAGACAGACUCAUUAUCAACAAGCCCCCGUGUCCAGCGAGACCACCUCCAGAACCCGAGGGAAUUGAGCAAACACCCGGCCUGAUCCCUGCCUAGUUUACCGCCGGGACCAGAUGAAGCCCUUUAGCUAAUGAGACUCCCUCAUGGUUAGCUGCG
rnacentral:lncRNA from 1 species